GACGAACGCUGGCGGCGUGCUUAACACAUGCAAGUCGAACGGGGAAGCGAGUCCUUGCACUCGUUGAUCAGUGGCGAACGGGUGAGUAACACGUGAGUAACCUGCCCAUCACUCUGGGAUAAGCACUGGAAACGGUGUCUAAUACUGGAUACGACCAACCCUUGCAUGGGGUGUUGGGGGAAAGAUUUUGCGGUGAUGGAUGGACUCGCGGCCUAUCAGCUUGUUGGUGGGGUAAUGGCCCACCAAGGCGACGACGGGUAGCCGGCCUGAGAGGGUGACCGGCCACACUGGGACUGAGACACGGCCCAGACUCCUACGGGAGGCAGCAGUGGGGAAUAUUGCACAAUGGGCGAAAGCCUGAUGCAGCGACGCCGCGUGAGGGAUGACGGCCUUCGGGUUGUAAACCUCUUUCAGCAGGGAAGAAGCGAAAGUGACGGUACCUGCAGAAGAAGCACCGGCUAACUACGUG
rnacentral:rRNA from 1 species